UACGGAGGGUGCAAGCGUUAUCCGGAUUCACUGGGUUUAAAGGGUGCGUAGGUGGGUUGGUAAGUCAGUGGUGAAAUCCCCGAGCUUAACUUGAGAACUGCCAUUGAUACUAUUAAUCUUGAAUACCGUGGAGGUUAGCGGAAUAUGUCAUGUAGCGGUGAAAUGCUUAGAUAUGACAUAGAACACCAAUUGCGAAGGCAGCUGGCUACACGAAUAUUGACACUGAUGCACGAAAGCGUGGGGAUCAAACAGG
rnacentral:rRNA from 1 species